rnacentral:rRNA from 1 species
CCUACGGGAGGCAGCAGUGAGGAAUAUUGGUCAAUGGACGAGAGUCUGAACCAGCCAAGUAGCGUGAAGGAUGACUGCCUUAUGGGUUGUAACCUUCUUUUAUAAAGGAAUAAAACGAGGCACGUGUGCCUUUUUGCAUGUCCUUUAUGAAUAAGGAUCGGCUAAUUCCGUGCCAGCAGCCGCGGUAAUACGGAGGAUCCGAGCGUUAUCCGGUUUUUUUGGGUUUAAAGGGAGCGUAGAUGGGUUGUUAAGUCAGUUGGGAAAGUUUGCGGCUCAACCGGAAAAUUGCAAUUGAUACUGGCAGUCUUGAGUACAGUUGAGGUAAGCGGAAUGCGUGGUGUAGCGGUGAAAUGCUUAGAUAUCACGAAGAACCCCGAUUGCGAAGGCAGCUUACUAAACUGUGACUGACAUUGAUGCUCGAAAGUGUGGGUAUCAAACAGGAUUAGAUACCCGAGUAGUC